GAGAACAGCGGAUUGGAAGGCACUGUCCAGCAGCCAAGCGAGAGCAUUGAAGCCCUUCCGAGAGCCCUGCAAGCCUCUGCCUCAGGUGGUGAGCUUUCCCAGCAGCUGGACAUGGAGCCUGGAACAGGCAUGCAGCUCGAGGCCCUAAACCAGGCUUUGCAAGAAGAGCUGUCCACUCUGCUUGGGAAGUGUGAACAACUGGAGAAGAGCAAAUGUCAGCUGCAAGAAGAGAUGACAAAACUCCACCACCAUUUGGAGACUUUGGUGCUGGAUGGCAGCCAAAGAGAACAGUGUACAGGAGAGGUGGCAGAAGGAGCUGACCAGGAAAGAAGUCCAAAGCUACAAGAGGUCAGCCUCGUUUUGCAAGCUGGAAAAGCUUCUGAGGAUAGAGAGGAGGAAACUCCGGGUUAAUGAAGAGAAAGGAAGUCAGUCCCAGCUGGAAGAAAUGAAGAAGAGAUAUUCUGAAAAGGUCAAGGAAGUUGAUAGAUUCCAAAGAGAGGUUGCUGAACUUUCCCAGCAGUUGGACAGGGAGCAUGAACAGUGC